rnacentral:rRNA from 1 species
GACGAAGGAUGCAAGCGUUAUCCGGAUUCAUUGGGUUUAAAGGGAGCGUAGGUGGCCUUAUAAGUCAGUGGUGAAAUCUCUCGGCUUAACCGAGAAAUUGCCAUUGAUACUGUAGGGCUUGAGUAUAGUUGCCGUUGGCGGAAUAUGACAUGUAGUGGUGAAAUACAUAGAGAUGUCAUAGAACACCGAUUGCGAAGGCAGCUGACGAAACUAUAACUGACACUGAGGCUCGAAAGUGCGGGGAGCAAACAGG